UACGGAGGAUGCGAGCGUUAUCCGGAUUUAUUGGGUUUAAAGGGUGCGUAGGCGGACGCUUAAGUCAGCGGUAAAAUUGCGGGGCUCAACCUCGUCGAGCCGUUGAAACUGGGUGUCUUGAGUGGGCGAGAAGUACGCGGAAUGCGUGGUGUAGCGGUGAAAUGCUUAGAGAUCAUACAGAACACCGAUUGCGAAGGCAGCUUACCAAUCUAUAUCUGACGUUGAGGCACGAAAGCGUGGGGAGCAAACAGG
rnacentral:rRNA from 1 species